rnacentral:rRNA from 1 species
ACGCGAAUCUCCCUUUCGGGGAGAAGUAGAGUGGCGCACGGGUGAGUAACACGUAGGUAAUUUGCCUUCGGGUGGGGAAUAACUCAGGGAAACUUGAGCUAAUACCGCAUAACGCAGCGGCUCGACAUCGAGACAGUUGUUAAAGCGGGGGAUUCCGCAAGGAACCUCGCGCCUGAAGAGAAGCCUGCGGCAGAUUAGCUAGUUGGUAAGGUAAUGGCUUACCAAGGCGACGAUCUGUAACCGGCCUGAGAGGGCGGUCGGUCACACUGACACUGACAUACGGGUCAGACUCCUACGGGAGGCAGCAGUCGGGAAUUUUGGGCAAUGGGCGCAAGCCUGACCCAGCAACGCCGCGUGAAGGAUGAAAUCCCUCGGGAUGUAAACUUCGCAAGAAUGGGAAGAAUAAGUGGGAGACAAUACCCCCCAUGAUGACGGUACCAUUUGUAAGCUCCGGCUAACUCCGUGCCAGCAGCCGCGGUAAUACGGGGGGAGCAAGCGUUGUUCGGAUUUACUGGGCGUAAAGGGCGCGUAGGCGGCUCUACAAGUCACUUGUGAAAUCUCCGGGCUUAACUCGGAACGGUCAAGUGAUACUGUCGAGCUAGAGUACAGAAGGGGCAACUGGAAUUCUCGGUGUAGCGGUGAAAUGCGUAGAUAUCGAGAAGAACACCUGCGGCGAAGGCGGGUUGCUGGGCUGAUACUGACGCUGAGGCGCGAAAGCCAGGGGAGCGAACGGGAUU